AUCUGCGGCCACAGAACCAUGAAAGCACCACAUCCCGUCCGAUCUGUGCAAUUAAGCAUGGUGUCGCUCCGUCAGUACUGCGGUGGGGGACCGCGCGGGAAUCCGGGGUGCUGCAGUUU
rfam:Pseudozyma flocculosa PF-1 unplaced genomic scaffold scaffold00002, whole genome shotgun sequence.